GAUGAACGCUGGCGGUGUGCCUAACACAUGCAAGUCGAGCGAUUCUCUUCGGAGAAGAGCGGCGGACGGGGUGAGUAACGCGUGGGUAACCUGCCCUGUACACACGGAUAACAUACCGAAAGGUAUGCUAAUACGAGAUAAUAUGCUUUUAUCGCAUGGUAGAAGUAUCAAAGCUCCGGCGGUACAGGAUGGACCCGCGUCUGAUUAGCUAGUUGGUAAGGUAGCGGCUUACCAAGGCGACGAUCAGUAGCCGACCUGAGAGGGUGAUCGGCCACAUUGGAACUGAGACACGGUCCAAACUCCUACGGGAGGCAGCAGUGGGGAAUAUUGCACAAUGGGCGAAAGCCUGAUGCAGCAACGCCGCGUGAGCGAUGAAGGCCUCGGUCGUAAAGACUCUGUCCUCAAGGAAGAUAAUGACGGUAC
rnacentral:rRNA from 1 species